GAAAAAUGGCCAAACGCGGUAAAAUCUAAAGCCCUGUUACCAGCAAUCUACGACGAAUCUCCAGCACCUUCGACGAGGAAUCAUCAUUGGCCGACAGCCCCUGUUUUCAUCAGCAGUAGCAGGAUCAAGUUUUAAAUUCCUAGGACCACUAUCGAUAUGACUAUCGAGCGAAGCGCCAGAAAGGGAUUCAGCAGCAGUAGGAGAAAGGAUUUCCAGGUCCAAGAGGGCCUUUUUUUUGUUUGUUUAUUUGCUUGUUGCACAGCACACGACGCGGCUCAAAUCCAGAACGGACAGAAAGAGGAGAUCGGAACGCCAAAUACCGAUCGAUCCACAAAUUCAACAAAUUAC